ACACGUGGGAGCUCCUGGAGAAGCUCAACAACGAACUGACUUGUGUCGUUUAAGACAGCAACAGCUCUAAGUCAUUUAUUAUGUAUGAUUGCAAGUUUUCACUCUGAAUUCAACCUUGAUGAAUAAACAAGAUCAACUGAGAA